rnacentral:rRNA from 1 species
UCGGGAAUUUUGGGCAAUGGGCGAAAGCCUGACCCAGCAACGCCGCGUGAGGGAUGAAGUAUUUCGGUAUGUAAACCUCGAAAGAAUGGGAAGAAUAAAUGACGGUACCAUUUAUAAGCUCCGGCUAACUACGUGCCAGCAGCCGCGGUAAUACGUCGGGAGCAAGCGUUGUUCGGAUUUACUGGGCGUAAAGGGCGCGUAGGCGGCGCGGUAAGUCACUUGUGAAAUCUCUGAGCUUAACUCAGAACGGCCAAGUGAUACUGCUGUGCUAGAGUGCGGAAGAGGCAACCGGAAUUCUUGGUGUAGCGGUGAAAUGCGUAGAUAUCAAGAGGAACACCUGAGGCGAAGGCGGGUUGCUGGGCCGACACUGACGCUGAUGCGCGAAAGCCAGGGGAGCAAACG